AGGAGCAGAAGUAUGUCUUGUUGAGAAGAUUCAAAGGAGGGGCUACAAAGAAGAAGGUCAUCAAUAUAUUGAAUAAGGUGAGAAGCAGAGGGGUGGAAAGAAAGUAAAUCACGAGAAACAGCUUGGCUGAAGUAAUGAGGGCUGUCCAUGAAACCUUGCAGCAGCACAGCCCAGGAGCUUCCGAGACGAUUGGGCAGUGUCAGUCUUCAGCCGCUAAGCUGAGAAGAUCUGGGAAGGAGUCAGAGAGAGUUGGGCCGGAGUUCCAGGGGCUCUGAAAGUGGCUGCCAGAUGCAGAACUCAUAGACAUCGAGGGCCAUCUGUAUUUGUUAUCAGUGAUAAAAGUUGAGCUUUCAACCAAACAUUAGAAUUUUGGAAAACAUGCACCUACCACCAAAAUCUUGACAGAUUCCCAGUACUUAGCCUUUGUUGAUGAAAUUGAUGAGGAGUUAGAAGUUACUUCUUUGUGCUGAUGUGGUGAUGCAUGGGAUGUUACAGAGCCAGCCACAGAAAUAAUUGACAGCUGGACCCAGCUCCUGUUUAUAAGGUUUAAGUCUACUACCCAUCUGAUAUGGUUAGGCUUUGUGUUGCUGUCCAAAUCUUAUCUUGAAUUGUAAUUCUCAUAAUCCUCGUAAUCUCCACGUAUCAAGGGAGUGACCACGUGGAGCUGAACAGAGAAGUUCUGAUUACCUAUUGGCCACUGGAAUCAUGGAAGGGGGAAGAAUCAUGUGCUUCUGAAUGUGUAGAUCUCUUUCAUCUAAUGGAAUUGCACCACACCUAAAGAUAUAUUAACCAGACAACUUCUGUUUAGGAGGAAAAUCAAGGGCAAUGAAUGAGGUUUUGGUAUCAGGAUGAUGCUGGCUUCAGAAAAUGAGAUAGGAAGAAGUCCUUAGGGACCAAUGGAACAGAACAGAACACUCAGAAAAAUAACACCACACAUCUACAACCAUCUGAUCCUUGACAAACCUGACAAAAACAAGCAAUGGGGAAAUAAUUCCCUAUUUAAUAAAUGGUGUUGGGAAAACUGGCUAGCCAUAUGCAGAAAACUGAAACUGGGACACUUCCUUAACACCUUAUAUGAAAAUUAACUCAAGAUGCAUUAAAGACUUACAUGUAUGACAUAAAACCAUAAAAACCUUACAAGAAAACCUAGGCAAUAUCAUUCAGGACAUAGGCAUGGGCAAAGAUUUCAUGACUAAAACACCAAAAGCAAUUGCAGCAAAAGCCAAAAUUGACAAAGGGGAUGUAAUUAAACUAAACAGCUUCUACACGGCAAAAGAAACUAUCAUCAGCGUGAACAGGCAACAUACAGAAUGGGAGAAAAUUUUUGAAAUCUAUCAAUCUGACAAAGGGCUCAUAUGCAGAAUCUACUGUGAACUUAAAUUUACAAGAAAAAAGCAAACAACCCCAUCAAAAACUGGGCAAAGGAUAUCUACAGACACUUCUCAAAGAAGACAUUUAUGCAGCCAACAAACAUAAAAAAAAGCUCAUCAUCAUUGGUCAUUAGAGAAAUGCAAAUCAAAACCACAAUCAGAUACCAUCUCACGCCAGUUAGAAUGGUGAUCAUUAAAAAGUCAGGAAACAACAGAUGCUGGAGAGGAUGUGGAGAAAUAGGAAUGCUUUUAUACUGUUGGUGGGAGUGUAAAUUAGUUCAACCAUUGUGGAAGACAGUGUGGAGAUUCAUCAAGGAUCUAGAAUCAGAAAUACCAUUUGACCCAGCAAUCCCAAUACUGGAUAUAUACCCAAAGGAGUAUAAAUCAUUCUACUAUAAAGACACAUGCAUACAAACGUUUACUGCAACACUGUUCACAAUACCAAAGACUUGGAACAAACCCAAAUGCUCAUCAAUGAUAGACUGGAUAAAGAAAAUGUGGCACAUAUACACCAUGGAAUAUUAUGCAGCCAUAAAAAAGGAGGAGUUCAUGUUCUUUGCGGGAACAUGGAUGAAGCUGGAAACCAUCAUUCUCAGAAAACUAACACAGAAACAGAACAGCAAACACCACAUGUUCUCACUCAUACACGGGACUUGAACAAUGAGAACACAUGGACACUGGGAGUGGAACAUCACACAUCAAGGCCUCUUGAGGGGUUGGAAGCAAGGAGAGGGAGAACAUUAGGCCAAAUACCUAAUGCAUGCUAGGCUUAAAACCUAGAUAAUGGGUUGAUGGCUGCAGCAAACUACGAUGGCACAUGUAUACCUACAUAAAAAACCUGCACGUUCUGUACAUGUAUCCCAGAACUUAAAGUAUAAUAAUAAAAAAAAAGUUUCACGUGU
rnacentral:lncRNA from 1 species